AUUGCCUACACCAUAAUUUCUCGGUCUUAAGACAGGAACCAACGUCGUUUAAGGAAUGAAAGAUACUCACUAGAAAGCUCUCACGCCCUUCUUCCCCAUAACUUACAACAGAUCUAAAACCUCCUUCCUCCGAGAGCUUCUAGGGCGGCCAUCCCUUUGAUUUCCUGAACCAAAUCCGUUGCUUCAAACCCCAUCUCAAAACCCCUAUCAAAGAAACUCCCGUUCGUCCCUGAUCUAAGCUCCGUCAACGCCUUCAAGACUCAGUCCGAACUCCAGGAACUCCCCACGGCCAUUUUUGGAACUCUGGCAAUCUCCCGCCUCCCUCAAUCUCACGACACCAAGCCCCAACUUCACCAACACCCGUUUCCUUCUCUAGCCUUUGCAGUAAAACCCAAAGCUGCAGGCCAAAUCUCCACUUCCACACUAAAUUCUCCCUUGCCUACCUCCUGAAACCCGACCAGACUUUGCCAGUACCAUCCUACGCCUCUAGAUCCAGCUAGAUUGAACGCUUCUACAGCUCAAACUUGCCGGCGACUGUGACGCUUCAACCGAGUUUCUAAUCAUCCGUUUCUUCCCUCUUCAACAAGAAGUUACUUCAGAUUUCAGGACUUCUCUCACUGUUUUCCAAAUUUCUCCCGAUGAUUCUUAGCCUCGUAAGAAAGCUUACUGGCAAGAAUUCUGACCAUUUAUCUUCAUCAUCUACGGUUUCUUCUGUUAAUACUGGAGUUGAAUAGCAAGCUUUAUAUGUCAAAAUUAUUAUGGCUUCUAAAAUAGUAAGUGUGACAUUGAGGAAGAAGCUGAGAAAAUAAUGAUGUAAAAGAAGAGGCAAAACAAGCUACAGUGCAUAACUGAUAACAGAUUUUAAUGAUAUGUUACUGUAAUACUACUUAUUCCUUCAUUUAAUGGAAGAUUUAGAAAAAAAUGAAUAUAAUGGGCAAAGAUAUCCCUUUGACGAAGUGUUUGUUUAGAAUGAUUGUAACUUUUUUAUAAGUUGUUUAGUUAUGUUUUAAUACAUGCCAUGAAGGUGUGCAAGU